AUUGAACGCUGGCGGCAGGCUUAACACAUGCAAGUCGAACGAGUGGCGGCGGGGUGAGAAAUGUUUGGGAAUCUAGCUUAUGGAGGGGAUAAAUUAUGGGAAAUUUAACUAAAACCGCGUACAAUAGGUUGAGCCCAAGGGGGAUAAGGUAGUUGGUGAGGUAAAGGCUCACCAAGCCGACGCGCUCUAGCUGGUCUGAGAGGAUGACCAGCCACACUGGGACUGAGACACGGCCCAGACUCCUACGGGAGGCAGCAGUGGGGAAUAUUGCGCAAUGGGGGCAACCUGACGCAGCCAUGCCGCGUGAAUGAAGAAGGCCUUCGGGUUGUAAAGUUCUUUCGGUAGCGAGGCGUUAACUACAGAAGAAGCACCGGCUAACUCCGUGCCAGCAGCCGCGGUAAUAC
rnacentral:rRNA from 1 species